UACGGAGGGGGCUAGCGUUGUUCGGAAUUACUGGGCGUAAAGCGCGCGCAGGCGGUCUUCCAAGUCAGUGGUGAAAGCCUGGAGCUCAACUCCAGAACUACCAUUGAAACUGUUAGACUUGAGUACGAGAGAGGUGAGUGGAAUUCCCAGUGUAGAGGUGAAAUUCGUAGAUAUUGGGAAGAACACCAGUGGCGAAGGCGGCUCACUGGCCCGAUACUGACGCUGAGGCACGAAAGCGUGGGGAGCAAACAGG
rnacentral:rRNA from 1 species